rnacentral:rRNA from 1 species
UACGGAGGGUGCAAGCGUUGUCCGGAAUCACUGGGCUUACAGGGUGCGUAGGCGGCUUGUUAAGUAGGGUGUGAAAGCCCCCGGCUCAACCGGGGAAUGGCGCCCUAAACUGGCGAGCUAGAGUGAGAUAGGGGUGUGUGGAACUUCCGGUGGAGCGGUGAAAUGUGUUGAUAUCGGAAGGAACGCCGGUGGCGAAAGCGACACACUGGAUCUUGUCUGACGCUGAGGCACGAAAGCCAGGGGAGCGAACGGG